GUAGUGAAUAACAUCGUUGAAGAAGAUAUAUAUCUACGACAGCAAAAGGUAUAUAAUUAGAGUGCUAAACCAAUUGCUAAGCUAGAUCUAGGUAACAAUGACAUUUCAGAUUUUGAUGGAAAAAACAUUUGAAUAUAUGCUAGAUAGAUUUUGUUGAUUUUAAACAAUCAGUAUACAGUUAAUUCUAUAGAUAGAAUGGAACAUAACAUUUUUCUUGACUAUUAAAGUUAAUUGCAUAAAUUUUAUUGGCUAUUAAAAGAAUAGCAUACGAACAUUUACUUCUACAAAUACAAUGCAUCAUAAAAUUUCUUUAACUAUUAAAUUGGUAAGAAAAACCUAGACAGUUUAAUGGGAUUAUAAUAUCUUAAAAUGUAACUUAAUUAGGGCAAUACUUGACGAAUCUAUAGUUGUAAACACUGUAGUAGUACACAUUAAGGUGGUGACAAAGAGAAAAACUGAAGUAUUACAUUUUUCAUAAAGGAGAUAUCUCAUUUGAUUUACUCGAUCAUUUGUAGUCGAGCUAUUUGUUUUCUAAAAAAGCUAAAUAAGACGAAACAUUAACAUAGACGUACAUAUCUUAGCAGAAAAGAAUCUAACUAACUAAAAACUAUUCUUUUAGUAAAGAACUUACCUGCUUUUUAUCUCUUUUCUGCUAGGUAAGUCACCAUCAUCCUUUGCUUGAGACGUCGAUAAUUGAAACAACUAGAGGACAACUACUAAGACUGUUUCUGUAAGAUCUGUAAGAGGUGUACAAUAUCCUCAGUUUGGUAGAACUAAACAGUACGCGCGAUUUGGCCAUGAUCAAUACACAUUUGGGUUAUGUAGCCUCCUGCAAACAAUGGACAUCUAUGAUCAAUAUCUUAUAGACCUUUAAUAUACUUUUUAAAGAGAAAGUAACAUAACAGUAAGCACACACUACUAAACAUAUUUAUGUUGAUCUGAAUUUUCAUUAUUUGCAUACCACGUCAAUAUUUCAAAAGAAUACAGGAGCAUAUAGUGGUUGGAAAAAAUGUCCUGCAUGUGGUAUGAAUUGUGGUUAAUAAAUUGUAAAAUAGCUUUACGCAUAACGUUUGGCAGAUGAAUGCAUAUAUAGAUAUGUAAAAAUGUACAUGUAGAUUUAACUAUUGCAAGAAUUGAUGCGCAUAUUCAUAUAGAAGAAGCACACAAUUACUUGAUAUUUACAAUAUAGCAAUGCCACAUGGAAAUAACAUAAGACAACACUCAUUAAAACAAAUUUCUGUAAAUAUGUUCGUGUUCACCACAAAAUGCAUUGAAAGAUUUUUUUGUAUAACCGGGAAAUGAAGUAUGUUCAAAACAUGGAUAGAGGAACAGGGGCCUGCGAGUAUAACACAAUAAUUUUUUGGAAGAAAUAAAGAUGUCACUUCAGGUGCUUAACAAAGGAAGCACUAAAAGUAUAACAUUUUUUAUAAAAAUGACAGAAUUAGAUUUUUUUUUCACUCUUGGUGGGUGGGUGGGUGGAUGGGGAGGCUACAAUGUAAAGCAGGUAGGCAUGUAAGAAACAAAGGUUUUGAUAGAGUUGUUAGAUCUUCAGGUUAAACAAAUUGUAGUAAAUCUCUGUUUCAAACUUAAAGAUUUCUAUUGGAUUAUGUUCCUCGUAACACUGAACACAUUAGCUUAAGUGUCAGCAUGUUAAUCAAUAAGAACAAUGAAUGGGAAUUACCUGCAACAAAGGUUAUCGAUGUAGUAAAACUACCUUGGAGACAAUGGUGUAGAAACCAUUAUCAAGACAAUACGUUGUAAAAGUUAGCCACUCCAAACGGGACACUUUCAAGUGAAGGUCGUUGCAGUAUUUAGCAUCUGGAAGCAAC
rnacentral:lncRNA from 1 species